UUGUGUAAUUUGUUUUAUUUUGUCUAUUUAGUGUUUCUUCAGGUUUAAAUGUGUAAUAACGGUGGUUUAUUAACUGUCUAAUAUCUGUGAAAGUGCACAAAUGUGGGAAAAUGAAACAAAGCCGCUGGACGCAACUUCUCGGGAUCCUCCAAAAAGUCCACUGAAAAAAUCUUAGUAAAUGACCACCAUUUUACUAAGAUUAUAUUUCAUUCCAUAUCAUCUCAUUUCAUUUAAUUUCAUCCCAGUUGAUUAACGUCUCAAAUUAAUCAUUUCCAUUUCAUUUCACUCCAUAUUAUCAUUUUUCAUAAAAAUAAGAAUGUAAAUUAAAAUAAGACAUGGCUUAAAGGUCUUAGCUACCAAGUCAUAAAAUCACUUAAAAAAAAUCGUUUAAACGAUACAUAGGCUUUUUUUGUGAAAGUGUCAAGAUUAUGAAAUCAGUAAAAUUCAAAAUCAACCUUAAAAUCAUCAACUUAUCACUAUUUAAUACAGUUAUUGGAUAAUGUAUCUUUGGCGGUUCUACACACCGAUGGGAAAGCAAUGGCGCGGCCCUACAUUAAUGAGAAAUCUGAGAAAUCGAACUGCCACGAACAAUUAUUGCCACGUUUAGUGGCCCAGGCGUGUCUUCGAAGAAGUUGAUAUUUCACGUGGUGGUCGCACAACCGCGACUGUGGGAGUGUAGAUAAUAAAUUAAAAGCUUAUCAUUUUCAUGUAA